rnacentral:miRNA from 10 species
AGGCUUCCUUAGUCCUGACCUACG